rnacentral:rRNA from 1 species
GAUGAACGCUGGCGGCGUGCCUAAUACAUGCAAGUCGAGCGAAUGGAUUAAGAGCUUGCUCUUAUGAAGUUAGCGGCGGACGGGUGAGUAACACGUGGGUAACCUGCCCAUAAGACUGGGAUAACUCCGGGAAACCGGGGCUAAUACCGGAUAACAUUUUGAACCGCAUGGUUCGAAAUUGAAAGGCGGCUUCGGCUGUCACUUAUGGAUGGACCCGCGUCGCAUUAGCUAGUUGGUGAGGUAACGGCUCACCAAGGCAACGAUGCGUAGCCGACCGGAGAGGGUGAUCGGCCAAACUGGGACUGAGACACGGCCCAGACGCCGACGGGAGGCAGCAGUAGGGAAUCUUCCGCAAUGGACGAAAGUCUGACGGAGCAACGCCGCGUGAGUGAUGAAGGCUUUCGGGUCGUAAAACUCUGUUGUUAGGGAAGAACAAGUGCUAGUUGAAUAAGCUGGCACCUUGACGGUACCUAACCAGAAAGCCACGGCUAACUACGUGCCAGCCGCCGCUGUAA